rnacentral:rRNA from 1 species
AACGAACGCUGGCGGCAUGCCUAACACAUGCAAGUCGAACGAGACCUUCGGGUCUAGUGGCGCACGGGUGCGUAACGCGUGGGAACCUGCCCUUAGGUUCGGAAUAACUCAGAGAAAUUUGAGCUAAUACCGGAUAAUGUCUUCGGACCAAAGAUUUAUCGCCUUUGGAUGGGCCCGCGUAGGAUUAGCUUGUUGGUGGGGUAAUGGCCUACCAAGGCGACGAUCCUUAGCUGGUCUGAGAGGAUGAUCAGCCACACUGGGACUGAGACACGGCCCAGACUCCUACGGGAGGCAGCAGUGGGGAAUAUUGGACAAUGGGCGAAAGCCUGAUCCAGCAAUGCCGCGUGAGUGAUGAAGGCCUUAGGGUUGUAAAGCUCUUUUACCAGGGAUGAUAAUGACAGUACCUGGAGAAUAAGCUCCGGCUAACUCCG